AACCUGUUUUAUACGGGAAGAAACCCUGUUCUGAUCGGGGCUGACGGUACCGUAAGAAUAAGGAUCGGCUAACUCCGUGCCAGCAGCCGCGGUAAUACGGAGGAUCCUAGCGUUAUCCGGAUUUAUUGGGUUUAAAGGGUGCGUAGGCGGAAUAAUAAGUCAGUGGUGAAAUCCUGCAGCUUAACUGUAGAAUUGCCAUUGAUACUGUUAUUCUUGAAUGCAGUUGAGGUAGGCGGAAUGUGUAAUGUAGCGGUGAAAUGCUUAGAUAUUACCCAGAACACCGAUUGCGUAGGCAGCUUGCUAAACUGUGAUUGACGCUGAGGCACGAAAGCGUGGGUAGCAAACAGGAUUAGAUACCCUGGUAGUCCACGCCGUAAACGAUGAUUACUCGAUGUGUGCAAUAUAUCGUACGCGUCUGAGCGAAAGCAUUAAGUAAUCCACCUGGGGAGUACGGCCGCAAGGUUGAAACUCAAAGGAAUUGACGGGGGCCCGCACAAGCGGAGGAACAUGUGGUUUAAUUCGAUGAUACGCGAGGAACCUUACCUGGGCUUAAAUGUAUUCUGACGUUCCGGGAAACUGGAAUUCCCUUCGGGGCAGAUUACAAGGUGCUGCAUGGUUGUCGUCAGCUCGUGCCGUGAGGUGUCGGGUUAAGUCCCAUAACGAGCGCAACCCCUAUUGUUAGUUGCCAGCGGAUAAUGCCGGGGACUCUAACGAAACUGCCAGUGUAAACUGUGAGGAAGGUGGGGAUGACGUCAAAUCAGCACGGCCCUUACGUCCAGGGCUACACACGUGUUACAAUGGUCGGUACAAAGGGCAGCUACCACGCGAGUGGAUGCUAAUCUCCAAAACCGAUCUUAGUUCGGAUUGAAGUCUGCAACUCGACUUCAUGAAGCUGGAUUCGCUAGUAAUCGCACAUCAGCCAUGGUGCGGUGAAUACGUUCCCGGGCCUUGUACACACCGCCCGUCAAGCCAUGGAAGCCGGGGGUACAUGACGUCCGUAACCGCAAGGAG
rnacentral:rRNA from 1 species